rnacentral:rRNA from 1 species
AUGUGUGUCUCAAAGAAUCAAGGAGGAAUGAAUUUUCGUGAUAUUCAUUAUUUCAAUCUGGCAAUGUUGACAAAAUAGGCCUUGCGGCUUCUCAAGAACCCUGAUUGUUUACGUGCUACUAUUUCGAGAGUUAAGUACUAUCAUGAUGGUAAUUUAAUGAACACAAAGUAAAAAAAAGAUUCUCCUGUACUUGACAAAGUAUUAUGA